rnacentral:rRNA from 1 species
AAUGAACGUUGGCGGCGUGGAUUAGGCAUGCAAGUCGAGCGAGAACCCCGCAAGGGGGGACAGCGGCGAAAGGGACAGUAAUGUGUAGAUUAUCUGCCCUCAGGUCCGGGAUAGCUGCGGGAAACUGCAGGUAAUACCGGAUAACAUCUCCGGAUCAAAGGUGUGAUUCCGCCUGAGGAUGAGUCUGCAUCCUAUUAGCUAGUUGGUGGGGUAAUGGCCUACCAAGGCAUUGAUGGGUAGCAGGUGUGAGAGCACGACCUGCGUCAUUGGGACUGAGACACUGCCCAGACACCUACGGGGGGCUGCAGGCGAGAAUCUGCGGCAAUGGGCGCAAGCCUGACCGAGCGACGCCGCGUGUGGGAUGAAGGCCUUCGGGUUGUAAACCACUGUCAGAGGGGAUGAAAUGCAGGUGGGUUCUCCCAUCUGUUUGACAUAGCCUCAGAGGAAGGACGGGCUAAGUUCGUG